rnacentral:rRNA from 1 species
CGCCUUGCCAGCCCGCUCAGAAACUUAAAUGAAUUGACGGGGGCCCGCACAAGCGGAGGAACAUGUGGUUUAAUUCGAUGAUACGCGAGGAACCUUACCCGGGCUUGAAAUGCAUCUGACCGGCCUUGAAAGAGGCACUCCCUUCGGGGCAGAUGUGUAGGUGCUGCAUGGUUGUCGUCAGCUCGUGCCGUGAGGUGUCGGCUUAAGUGCCAUAACGAGCGCAACCCUUGUCCUUAGUUACCAGCACGUUAUGGUGGGCACUCUAAGGAGACUGCCGGUGACAAACCGGAGGAAGGUGGGGAUGACGUCAAGUCAUCAUGGCCCUUACGGCCUGGGCUACACACGUGCUACAAUGGUCGGUACAAAGGGUUGCCAAGCCGCGAGGUGGAGCUAAUCCCAUAAAACCGAUCGUAGUCCGGAUCGCAGUCUGCAACUCGACUGCGUGAAGUCGGAAUCGCUAGUAAUCGUGAAUCAGAAUGUCACGGUGAAUACGUUCCCGGGCCUU